rnacentral:rRNA from 1 species
AAAAAAGGUAAGCUACUAAGAGCGAAUGGUGGAUGCCUUGACUGGUAAAGGCGAUGAAGGACGUACUAGACUGCGAUAAGCUACGGGGAGCUGUCAAGAAGCUUUGAUCCGUAGAUUUCCGAAUGGGGCAACCCAAUGUAUAGAGAUAUACAUUACCUAUAUAGGAGCGAACGAGGGGAAUUGAAACAUCUUAGUACCCUCAGGAAAAGAAAUCAAUAGAGAUUGCGUCAGUAGCGGCGAGCGAAAGCGCAAGAGGGCAAACCCAGUGCUUGCACUGGGGGUUGUAGGACUGCAAUGUGCAAGAGGUGAGUUUAGCAGAACAUUCUGGAAAGUAUAGCCAUAGAGGGUGAUAGUCCCGUAUGCGAAAAACAAACCUUAGCUAGCAGUAUCCUGAGUAGGGCGGGACACGAGAAAUCCUGUCUGAAGCUGGGUCGACCACGAUCCAACCCUAAAUACUAAUACCAGAUCGAUAGUGCACAAGUACCGUGAGGGAAAGGUGAAAAGAACUGAGGUGAUCAGAGUGAAAUAGAACCUGAAACCAUUUGCUUACAAUCAUUCAGAGCCCUAUGUAGCAAUACAGGGUGAUGGACUGCCUUUUGCAUAAUGAGCCUGCGAGUUGUGGUGUCUGGCAAGGUUAAGCAAACGCGAAGCCGUAGCGAAAGCGAGUCUGAAUAGGGCGCUUAGUCAGAUGCUGCAGACCCGAAACGAAGUGAUCUAUCCAUGAGCAAGUUGAAGCUAGUGUAAGAACUAGUGGAGGACUGAACCCAUAGGCGUUGAAAAGCCCCGGGAUGACUUGUGGAUAGGGGUGAAAGGCCAAUCAAACUUCGUGAUAGCUGGUUCUCUCCGAAAUAUAUUUAGGUAUAGCGUUGUGUCGUAAUAUAAGGGGGUAGAGCACUGAAUGGGCUAGGGCAUACACCAAUGUACCAAACCCUAUCAAACUCCGAAUACCUUAUAUGUAAUCACAGCAGUCAGGCGGCGAGUGAUAAAAUCCGUCGUCAAGAGGGAAACAACCCAGACUACCAGCUAAGGUCCCUAAAUCUUACUUAAGUGGAAAACGAUGUGAAGUUACUUAAACAACCAGGAGGUUGGCUUAGAAGCAGCCAUCCUUUAAAGAAAGCGUAAUAGCUCACUGGUCUAGUGAUUUUGCGCGGAAAAUAUAACGGGGCUAAAGUAAGUACCGAAGCUGUAGACUUGCGCACAACUUAGAUUAUUUAAGUUUAGAAUAUGAGAAACUAAGUUAUAUGUUUAGUUAUAUUUUUACUGAUUUUUAUAGAGUAAAGAUAGAAAUAAAACUUAGUAAAAUCAGUAAAAAUAUUCUUAGACUAAAGUUAAGUAGUUUAAGUUGUGUGCAAGUGGUAGGAGAGCGUUCUAUUUGCGUCGAAGGUAUACCGGUAAGGAGUGCUGGAGCGAAUAGAAGUGAGCAUGCAGGCAUGAGUAGCGAUAAUUAAUGUGAGAAUCAUUAACGCCGUAAACCCAAGGUUUCCUACGCGAUGCUCGUCAUCGUAGGGUUAGUCGGGUCCUA